UACGUAGGUGGCAAGCGUUGUCCGGAGUUAUUGGGCGUAAAGCGCGCGCAGGCGGUUCGGAAAGUCCAUGGUGAAAGCGCCCGGCUCAACUGGGCGAGUGCCGUGGGGACUGUCGAGCUGGAGGGGAGCAGAGGCGAGUGGAAUUCCGGGUGUAGUGGUGAAAUGCGUAGAGAUCCGGAGGAACACCAGUGGCGAAGGCGGCUCGCUGGGCUCAACCUGACGCUGAGGCGCGAAAGCGUGGGGAGCGAACCGGAUUAGAUACCCGGGUAGUCCACGCCGUAAACGAUGGACACUAGGUGUGGGGGGUAUCGACCCCCUCUGUGCCGAAGCUAACGCGAUAAGUGUCCCGCCUGGGGAGUACGGCCGCAAGGCUAAA
rnacentral:rRNA from 1 species